UAGUUGCCUUAGGGCCUUAGGAUGACUAUGAACCUUUGAUUAGAUCCAACACAAGCCUAGUGUUGAAUCUCGGUCUAGGGAUGGUGAUUGAUUUUAGUUACGCGUUUAAUCAUAUUAAGGCGUGUUUCUCCUAUUGGGCGUUGGACCCAACUACUCCAAUUUCAUGCAUAUCAAAUAAAACAAGAAAGGAGUACUUCAAAGUAAGGAAGAGCUUAUACUCUUUUACAACAUUUGAUCAAAACAAAUUACUUUAAAGUAAAAAAGAGCUUAUGCUCUUUUACAACAUUUGAUCAUAUCAAAUUACAACAAAAAUCUAAUCUACACAUUCCCAUGGUUCAAACAAAUUUGAGACGGCCUUUCACAUAGCUCAAUUAUCGUAGGCUUAGGUUCAUAAUCACCCUUUAAUUAAUUAACGCUUUAACUAAUUAAACUUUGAAUGCAACAUUGUCAUUUGGUUUUUGUAUCCAUAGAAUUGAUUUAAAUGGAGCUAAAUGAAAUGAAAAUCCAAUUCUCAUUUAAAGAGACAAAACCAUUUUGUUCUCAACCUAAUUUGGGCCAAAUUGCAAUAACCUCAACUUUUUGGGCUAUGUUGCAAAACUUAAACUUUUGAGCUUAUUUUGCAAAAACACAAAAGUCCAUUACUUCAUGUAAUUACAAUUAGAACCUAAAAAUUUCAACAAAUUCAAAAACUUUAUUAAAGGAACAAAACAAUUUGUCCUUUAAUGAUUUUGGGCCUUUACGUAAAAAUGUAAACUUUUGGAUCAAACUGCAAAUACACAAAAGUAUCAAAACUUUAUGUAAUUGCAUAAAAGCCCCAAAAGAACCCUAUUUUAAUAGGGUGGCCGGUUAUAGAGAGUGAAGGGAGUGAUGUGUGUGUUGAUUUGUAGGUUUGACAUAAAGUCAUGCAAGUGUUGCAAGUGGUGUAUGACAUAAAUUCAUGCAAGUGGUACAUGACAUAAAUUCAUGCAAGUGGUGUGUGUGUAAGAGAAGUACUUCUUUCACACCCAUCACCAUUUCUAUCACCUUUCAAAAUUUCAAUCACAUUUAAACAUUUGAAAAAGCACAAAACAAAGACUUUAUGAAAUAAAUCAAAACACCAAACUUUUUGUUCUUGGCUAAAACAUCAAGAACAAUGAAGAACAUUCAUGAAAAACCCAUAAAAGCUCCAUGAACAUUUUUCACCCAAAGACAUCCCAUAAACACUCAAACUUAAGGGAAAUAACAUAUAACCAUACUAGGGUACAUAGGGGUUCCAAAAGUCACUUGAAAACACUUUUAACAAGACAAACAAGAACCCAAAAAUCCACCUUUUGGAUUUGGCCGAAAAUCCCCAAAAACAUGGCACCAAAUUUUAGCUCCAAAAUUCAUGCUCAUAUGAACUACAUCUACAACAUUUGAGAUGGCAAAUUUUCUAACAAAAUUUAUAUUCAAAGAAGCAAGAAUAAAGCUUGUAACAAUUACAACAUUCAAAUCAAAGACUAUGAACUACAAAACCCAAAAGGAUUCACCAACUACUAGACCUAGGCUCUGAUACCACUUGAAGGAAAUUUUGUGCAAAACAUGUUCAUUUGAGCAACAUCUAUAUAGCAUGCAAUUAACAAUUAAAGGCGGAAUCAUGCUUGCAUGCACUCAAAACAAAAGAUUACCCAUUAAAUUCAAAGCCUAGUAGUUAGGUGAACCAAGACUCAACUCAAAACAAAGUGAGUUGAGAAAUUUAUACCUUUGUAGAUUCCUCUUUGCAAAAGCAAAGGAUAAUCACCCAAGAGAUAGGGCCUUCAUUCCUUGCUUCUUAGAUCCAUGGAUUUGGAUGGAAGAAUAGGUUUCUCCAAGUUCUCAAAAUUGAGAACCUCUAAGUCUCCACACCAAGGAAAGAUUUUAAGAAGAAAUGAGUGACCUAGAGGAAGUAAGAUUGCUAGCUAUUUUCCUCUAGGGUGGCCGGCCUCUUUAGAGAGAAAAGAGAGCUUGUGUUCUCAUCCUUUCUCCAAAAGAAAACCCUAAAUGAAUUUUGACUAUAAAGUCAUAUUUAUACCUUCCUUCAUUGGAGUGGAAAACUUGUAAUUAAAGCAAGUUCACUACCCUCCUCUAAAUGGCCGGCCUUAAGGGUUUAUUGGGCUUUCAAGCCCUUUGUUUAUUCAAGUUGUCAUACAACUUGAGUUAAUGGGCUUGACAUUCAAAUCCCAUUGGGCCUUGCGGCCCAAAACUAACCCUCGGUCUAUAACGAACUUAUUCGUUUGAUUAAUUAACAUAUUAAUUAAUUCUAGCCAUAAAUAAAUAAUUAAACCAUUUAAUUAUCCUUACUCAUCUCCGUUGUUUCUUCAAUCUCUACCUUACACGGUGUACAAUCCAUUAGGUUCCUUUUAGCGAGGCAGUGGGCGAUUAGAACUCUUUCAAAUCAAUUGUGAAUUGAAACUUACUUUCAAUUCUCCCUUUAGUGAUUAUACAUGUUUAGGGCUUCCACAAACCAUGAG
rnacentral:lncRNA from 1 species